UCAGCUAAGCUGCUUGACUCUGAUUGGCAGCUAGCCAAUGAGAGCCUGGCUAUCGGCAUCCUUUACCCAGCGCAACUGGACGAGCUCAUGAAUAGUGAUGAGCUCAGGCAACAUGACAUCAGACUGACCAGCUGUUGUUAUUGGCCUGAUUUCUCCCCCUAUUUCUUCUCAGUGGCUAGAGUUGACAGAGGAGGUAGCAGUUCAUUUUCACAUUUUCACAACAUUACACAAACACAUAUGGAGCUAACAUAUUUCAAAAAAUGCAAGUAAAAGAGGUUUUGUGUGGCAGGGCACCUUUAAUCAAUAUUCCGGAAAAACGAUAACUC